GAUGAACGCUGGCGGCGUGCCUAAUACAUGCAAGUCGAGCGAACAGACGAGGAGCUUGCUCCUCUGACGUUAGCGGCGGACGGGUGAGUAACACGUGGAUAACCUACCUAUAAGACUGGGAUAACUUCGGGAAACCGGAGCUAAUACCGGAUAAUAUAUUGAACCGCAUGGUUCAAUAGUGAAAGACGGUUUUGCUGUCACUUAUAGAUGGAUCCGCGCCGCAUUAGCUAGUUGGUAAGGUAACGGCUUACCAAGGCAACGACGCGUAGCCGACCUGAGAGGGUGAUCGGCCACACUGGAACUGAGACACGGUCCAGACUCCUACGGGAGGCAGCAGUAGGGAAUCUUCCGCAAUGGGCGAAAGCCUGACGGAGCAACGCCGCGUGAGUGAUGAAGGUCUUCGGAUCGUAAAACGCUGUUAUUAGGGAAGAACAAAUGUGUAAGUAACUAUGCACGUCUUGACGGUACCUAAUCAGAAAGCCACGGCUAACUACGU
rnacentral:rRNA from 1 species